rnacentral:lncRNA from 1 species
CAUCGCUACUAGGCCUAUAUUUAUACUCUAUCCUAAAGAGUUACAACCAGAUAUGACUAGGAUUCUAAGACCAAAUCAAAUAGAACUCGUACAGAAAAUAAACUCUAAAAAUUAUGAAAAAUAACAAUUCAUCUAUCCUGGGUAAUCGGCACACCACCAUUGUCAUCCCGACGACUCCCACGUCUACCUUCACCAUCAUCAGUAUAUCAUCCUCCAUCGGCAUCGGUAAUCGUCAAUAUUGGCCAUCGGCACCGGUCAACCAUUGCUCUCGGACUUAACCAUAUCUCCCUCCUGCUGCCUCAUCAUCG